rnacentral:tRNA from 3 species
GGGCCGCUAGCUCAACUGGCAGAGCAGCAGACUCUUAAUCUGCGGGUUCGGGGUUCGAGUCCCUGGCGGCUCACCA